UAAAAAUACAUACAUAAAAUAUAUGUAUGCAUGGAAAACUUGGUAUAUUUUCAUGAGUUGAAUACUUCUGUUCAUCUGGAUCAAGAAAUCAGGUGAGAUCAGAGCCCUCUGUUUCAAUGUUGAGUUCUCUCGGAGCCCAGGUAAGUCAACCUCAAAUAGCAGCUCAAACUGCAGAAGGAGCCUUCAGCAGUCACUGGCCUGGCUUCAACACGCCCCAGCCGUGGCCUUACUCACAGGAUUUGCCCCAGCCCUGCUGAGGCCGAGUUGGGUCUCCACUGAACACCAGUAAGUUAUUACAUUACAUAUGUAAUGUGGCAGUGACUAGAAAUACCAGGGCAACUGUCUUUAUGAAUUAACCAAAUGCUGCCUAGGGACACCUAUUUUCUUAAACUGUAAACACUUCUUCUUGCUAGUUAAAAUUUUGGUCUUCCCGAGUAGUUUGUAAGAGCCACGAGGAAAACUAGAAACAAUUAUGAUCAUCGCCGCUGGCGACGCUCCCAUGCUGUGUCAGGAACUGGUCCAGUCACAACAUAUGUCCUGAACUCACUUCUUGCCACUACACUGAAUGGUACAUAUUUAGUGAGCGUCCCCGAGGUGACUGAUGCCACACAGCCAGGAGGCUCUGCGUGGCUCUCAACCCAGGUCUGACCACCAAAUCUGGCCACACUGCUGUGUCCCCAGAAGGACAGGGCACUGUCCUCAAAGUCUUGUUGGCCGGCUGAAGCCAAGUGCAGUCCUCCCUCAGACGAGGGUGUGAGCAGCUCCCUGGCUCUUCUCUGAAAGGCCUCCCGCUUGUCGGGGCCACGGGAAAUGUCCCCUCAGCCUUCCGAAGUUUCACCAAAAAAUCAACUCACAAAAGGUAGAUUAACGGGAGAAAAGGCACACAAAGGUGUUUAACGUGUACACACAGGAGCAUUCAGAAUGAAGACCCAAGCCCCUCCUCGGGUGCAGAAGCUGAUAUAUCAUCUUGAGUUACAGGAAGAACAGGGGCUUGGAUCCUGGCAAAAUAGGUUAUGGGAGCGGGGAGAGACAAAUUCUGUUGAGCGGAAAUACGGGAUUAUUAGGGAGAAUUCAGUAGUCUUGGAGAACUUACAGUGGUCUGUUGGGCCUGCAGCAACAUGGUGUGUGACAAAAGUCUGUUCAGGUUUGCUGACAGACUUUAGUCUUCCUUCCUGGGAUAGGGGUUCGGUUAAUGAAAACUCAGGGAAGGGACCAGAGGUAACCGUCUUCUUCUUUGGUAGGUCUGGACUGCAGGCAGUGAGGGAACUUCAGAGAACCACUUCAUCUUGUGCUCCGGGAGAGAUGGGUGGGCAGGAGGACCAGAGAGACCUUAAGGCUCCUCUGUCAGUUCAGCACGAUCAAAGCACCAUAUUUUGAGAAACAACAACAUCCACCAAGCCUAUCCCACAGAAGCAGCAACUGUCUCCUGCUCAGCUGCCUUCCUGCAGCUGGGUGGGAAGUGGCCCUGGCACCUGCAGCUCGCCUCUGAGCACGAACUACCAGCCUUCGUGUGCUCCUCCCCUCAGGGCCCACCAGAGACCCCCACUGGGACUUCACAUCUGUAGGAGUUGGUGCCGUGUGGACUCCUCUGAGGACCAGGGAGCUGUGCUGGUGCCCCACCAGUUCCCAUGAGUCCUCGGCUCCACUACCCACCGCCCCACCCGCAAGCACACAACUGCAGCUACACUGUUUUGCUGGGUGAAGAGCCUGCCAAACUCCUUACGCUGUCAUUCAGAAGUCCUGACUUCUCCAAGUGAGUUAGAGGGCAGUUUCUUGAAGAGCGGAAUUUCAUUAGCCAACUGGAGGGAGCAGUGAUGUCGGUCAGUGGGGCACGGCGCGGGGACGCUUGUGGAGAAGAUGCCCGGCAGCCUCCAGGAGGAAGGCGCACUGGGGCCGCGGGGCCUGCCAGGUGGGCGCAGCCAGAGGGGCUGAAAUCGCCAUCCUCUCCUAGCGAUGGAAGACCAUUACUGUUCCCUGAAGUGACUGAAUAUUAAGAAAUCCUUUCACCAACUGAAAGACACAAGAAGACAAAGAGAAGAGGAAUUUAUUAGAGGGAAUAAAUGGAAGCAAAAGGACUUUAUCACCUUAGGUGAGAAAGGUAUUGAAGUUCUCAGCAUCUAUAUCUCGAUUAACAAAUUCACAAUUCAAUUUCCAUGUUAGGGUUUUCUGCAGUCAGAUAAAGCAGAAUUAUUAGAGGUGCUGAAAAAAUUGCUUUAUAGGGUUUUGUGCUGGGCGAGCUACUCUUUCCCAUCAGGCCAAGCAGCUCCGGCAGCCACAGGCAGCUGGGGAUUGAUGACUCUACUUCUAAAAGGAGACAUGUUUAAGGGUCUCCCUCCAACCCUCCAGGCAGAGAGAAUAUUUCUUUAGGAAGAAUUGGCUCUUUAAAGAGGAAAUGCAGCAACCAUUAGGGGUAGGUAUGUCUGGGGUAGGAACAACAGGUGCAAUGAACUCAAGGGCUCUAUGUAUAAGACUGGAAAUGUAUUUUCAGAAAAACACAUACACACACAUCCAUUAAAAUUUGUUUUUAUGAAAACUCA